AGGGGGCUGAAAUAGUAUUUAAAAGUUCAGAACAGGAAAACGGCUCUCUCCUAGAGAGAAAUUUAAUGAGGGCUCUCUUACCAUUCCAAAUCCUGUUCCUGGCUGUCCAACAGGUGGUGCCCCAGCAACAGGAGGAACUGAACUAGCAGAAGUCAUUUGAAUGCAAUCCAAGGCAGAAAAAAGAAGUGAACUGACUGCAGCAAAUUGUAUGUAACAGUUCUGCUGUGCUACAUAAUGGAUAAUGAUGUGCCAGUCAUCUAAGAAGAUUGGAAUUUGGCAAAAGAACUCACCGGAUAAGAGAUCAGCAGUGAGAGAACUCUCAGGCACAGGAGAAGCCCCAUGUGGAGGAGAUGAGAAAGCAUCUUCCAAAAGUGAAACAAACCAAAAUCAAGCAGAAGUUUUUUUCUGUGGAAUUCAGACACCAGGGUCCAGACACUGCCUUGAUGACUAAGAGGUCUUUCUCCCAGAGCAGAAAACUUGAAUGCCAGACUUUUACUUCCUAUACCAAUAAGGAUAACAAUCACCAUGAUAAGUUUAUAAACAGAAAGCUAACUAAUCAUCACUCCACUCAGCACGUAAAGAUGCAGUUGGCUAGAUGUAUUAUCCUUAAAACAAAAGUACCUUUAUUUUUUGCCUGCUGGAGAUCAUCUUAAAAAGGUAUAUUAGAGAUAAAGGAGUUUGAAUUAUGCUGCUCUAGGUAUCUGCAGAACUCAAUCACCAGGACAAUGGAUAAACAUUUCUCAGAGAAUUUGGUCAAUAACU